rnacentral:SRP_RNA from 1 species
CUCCACGUGGUGACCUCGGCAAGGUCUGGUGGUCCCUUGAGUUCUGGAGGAGUAUAG